rnacentral:rRNA from 1 species
GAUGAACGCUGGCGGCGUGCCUAAUACAUGCAAGUCGAGCGAACAGACGAGAGUGCUUGCACUCUCUGACGUUAGCGGCGGACGGGUGAGUAACACGUGGGUAACCUACCUAUAAGACUGGGAUAACUUCGGGAAACCGGAGCUAAUACCGGAUAAUAUUUAGCUUCGCAUGAAGCAAUAGUGAAAGACGGCUCUGCUGUCACUUAUAGAUGGACCCGCGGUGUAUUAGCUAGUUGGUGAGGUAACGGCUCACCAAGGCAACGAUACAUAGCCGACCUGAGAGGGUGAUCGGCCACACUGGGACUGAGACACGGACCAGACUCCUACGGGAGGCAGCAGUAGGGAAUCUUCCGCAAUGGACGAAAGUCUGACGGAGCAAUGCCGCGUGAGUGAAGAAGGUUUUCGGAUCGUAAAACUCUGUUGUAAGGGAAGAACAAGUACGUUAGUAACUGAACGUACCUUGACGGUACCUGACCAGAAAGCCACGGCUAACUACGUG